UUGCUUAGGCAGCACAUAUACCGAAAUUGGAACAACACAGAGAAGAUUAGCAUGGCCCCUGCACAAGAAUGACACACAAAUUGAUGAAGCAUUCUAUGUUUUU
rfam:Canis lupus familiaris chromosome 32, whole genome shotgun sequence.